UUCCUGGGCCCUUAAGAAGUAAAGUCGUAACAAGGUUUCCGUAGGUGAACCUGCGGRAGGAUCAUUA
rnacentral:rRNA from 1 species